rnacentral:rRNA from 1 species
AGAGAGAGACAUGCGCGCAUAUCAAUAAGCGGAGGAAAAGAAACUAACAAGGAUUCCCUUAGUAACGGCGAGUGAAGCGGGAAGAGCUCAAAUUUGAAAUCUUCAAGGUUUUACCUUGACGAAUUGUAGUUUAAAGAAGUGUUUUCUGCUGAAGUUUUGGUAAAAGUUCUUUGGAAUAGGACAUCAUAGAGGGUGAGAAUCCCGUAUUUGACCAUUAUUUUCAGCUUUGUGAUACACUUUCAAAGAGUCGGAUUGUUUGGGAAUGCAGUCCAAAAUGGGUGGUAAAUUUCAUCUAAAGCUAAAUAUUGGCGAGAGACCGAUAGCGAACAAGUACCGUGAGGGAAAGAUGAAAAGAACUUUGAAAAGAGAGUUAAACAGUACGUGAAAUUGUCAAAAGGGAAGCGUUUGACACCAGUGUUGUUUUCUCGAAAAUCAAUUAAAAAUGGCUCGAUUUUGUAUUGCUGAGACCUUAAAAGCUCACUGUACAUUUUUCGUGUCUUUUUUAAUGCACUUUUCGUUUAACAAGUCAACAUCAGUUUCUUUUGUUGUAAAAGGGUCAUUGGAAGGUGGCUUUCUUUUCGGAGAAAGUGUUUAUAGCCUUUGGCCUCUGCAAUCGAAGAGACUGAGGUCUGCAGCGUAGACUCUUCGGGGUUAGAUACAUUUGUGCUAAGUUAUAGCUUUUUAUCAGACAACUUGCUGACUAUAAUUAGUCUUGUAGCUUACUCGCUUAUGCUAUUUUACCUACGCUUAGGAUGUUGAAGUCAUCGUAUCGCGC